rnacentral:tRNA from 1 species
ACUUCCUUAGUAUAUAAGUACAUUUGACUUCCAAUCAAAAAGUUUGUUUUACAAAGCAAGUA